rnacentral:rRNA from 1 species
UACGUAGGUGGCAAGCGUUGUUCGGAUUCAUUGGGCGUAAAGGGUGCGUAGGCGGCGCGGUAAGUCGGGUGUGAAAUCUCGGAGCUUAACUCCGAAACUGCAUUCGAUACUGCCGUGCUUGAGGACUGGAGAGGAGACUGGAAUUUACGGUGUAGCGGUGAAAUGCGUAGAUAUCGUAAGGAAGACCAGUGGCGAAGGCGGGUCUCUGGACAGUUCCUGACGCUGAAGCACGAAGGCCAGGGGAGCAAACGGG